rnacentral:rRNA from 1 species
UAAUACAUGCAAGUCGAACGCACUCUCGUUUAGAUUGAAGGAGCUUGCUCCUGAUUGAUAAACAUUUGAGUGAGUGGCGGACGGGUGAGUAACACGUGGGUAACCUGCCCUAAAGUGGGGGAUAACAUUUGGAAACAGAUGCUAAUACCGCAUAAAACCUAACACCGCAUGGUGUAGGGUUGAAAGAUGGUUUCGGCUAUCACUUUAGGAUGGACCCGCGGUGCAUUAGUUAGUUGGUGAGGUAAAGGCUCACCAAGACCGUGAUGCAUAGCCGACCUGAGAGGGUAAUCGGCCACACUGGGACUGAGACACGGCCCAGACUCCUACGGGAGGCAGCAGUAGGGAAUCUUCCACAAUGGACGAAAGUCUGAUGGAGCAACGCCGCGUGAGUGAAGAAGGUUUUCGGAUCGUAAAACUCUGUUGUUUGAGAAGAAUGUAUCUGAUAGUAACUGAUCAGGUAGUGACGGUAUCCAACCAGAAAGCCACGGCUAACUACGUGCCAGCAGCCGCGGUAAUACGUAGGUGGCAAGCGUUGUCCGGAUUUAUUGGGCGUAAAGCGAGCGCAGGCGGUUUCUUAAGUCUGAUGUGAAAGCCUUCGGCUCAACCGAAGAAGUGCAUCGGAAACUGGGAAACUUGAGUGCAGAAGAGGACAGUGGAACUCCAUGUGUAGCGGUGAAAUGCGUAGAUAUAUGGAAGAACACCAGUGGCGAAGGCGGCUGUCUGGUCUGUA